CUAGUAAAUCUCCCCCACAAAUGUCCAUGUUCCCUAAUUACAAUUUUCAAAAUCCCGGAACCCAACCUCCGCACGAACUUGAACAAGUAAAUGCGAUGUUCCAAAAUCCUAGGAAUGAUGCGUUUGCACCCACUUACAAUCCCGGGUGGAAGAAUCACCCCAAUUUCUCGUGGGUUCAAGGUCAAAAUUUUCAACCUCCACAACCAAAUUUUCAAAGGCCCA
rnacentral:lncRNA from 1 species